rnacentral:rRNA from 1 species
GAUGAACGCUGGCGGCGUGCCUAAUACAUGCAAGUCGAGCGAACAGACGAGGAGCUUGCUCCUCUGACGUUAGCGGCGGACGGGUGAGUAACACGUGGAUAACCUACCUAUAAGACUGGGAUAACUUCGGGAAACCGGAGCUAAUACCGGAUAAUAUAUUGAACCGCAUGGUUCAAUAGUGAAAGACGGUUUUGCUGUCACUUAUAGAUGGAUCCGCGCCGCAUUAGCUAGUUGGUAAGGUAACGGCUUACCAAGGCAACGAUGCGUAGCCGACCUGAGAGGGUGAUCGGCGACACUGGAACUGAGACACGGUCCAGACUCCUACGGGAGGCAGCAGUCGGGAAUCUUCCGCAAUGGGCGAAAGCUUGACGGAGCAACGCCGCGUGAGUGAUGAAGGUCUUCGGAUCGUAAAACUCUGUUAUUAGGGAAGAACAAAUGUGUAAGUAACUAUGCACGUCUUGACGGUACCUAAUCAGAAAGCCACGGCUAACUACGUG